rnacentral:rRNA from 1 species
ACGGGGACCCGGCACAAGCAGCGGAGCGUGUGGUUUUAAUUCGUUGCUACACGAAGAACCUUACCUGGGUUUGACAUAUAGGUUGUAGGGAACUGAAAAGGGACGACCCUUCGGGAGCCUAUACAGGUGUUGCAUGGCUGUCGUCAGCUCGUGUCGUGAGAUGUUCGGUUAAGUCCGCUAACGAGCGCAACCCUCGUCGUGUGUUACAAGUGUCACACGGUACUGCCGGUCUUAAGCCGGAGGAAGGUGGGGAUGACGUCAAGUCAGCAUGGCCUUUAUGUCCUGGGCUACACACACGCUACAAUGGCCAACACAAUAGGUUGCUAAGCCGCGAGGUGGAGCCAAUCCUCAAAGUUGGUCUCAGUUCAGAUUGCAGGCUGCCAACCGCCUGCAUGAAGAUGGAGUUGCUAGUAACCGCCAGGUCAGACUAUAACUGCGGUGAAUACGUUCCCGGGGCUU